AUGUGCCACAAUUUGUUUAACCUUUUGCCUAUUGGUCAAACUUUUCAAUAGACAAAAGAUUAAAGAAACUGUGGCACAUACA
rnacentral:miRNA from 1 species